GUUAAGUGAAGGAGAGCUUCAUUGAGCUCCCCUAGAGCUCCCUCAGCUCUCAUCUCUCUCUCUCUCUCUCUCUAUCUGUCAUAUAUACAGUAGAGUACAGGUUCCCGUACCAUAUAUUAUGUAGAAUAAGAAGAUAGGAGAGAGGAGAUUGCUUUGGGUUUGGGUCUGGUGGGAGGUGGGGUUGAUGAUAAUUAUCUCCAUGUGAAAGCAGGAACAAAACCCAUCAAUCCUUUCUGAGAAAGAGCACGCAAUUCUUUGGAUUUUUAUCACUCUAUUCAACGUAAAAAUACCCUGCAACAAUCAUCAUGUCCUCUACCUUCUUCCUCUCAUCAUUAGUCCCUCACUUUCAUCAUCAUCGCUUCUUCUUUUACCAUUCACCAACCGCACCACCCAACUCAAACAUAACAGCAUCAAGGACAAGAAAAAAAAGAAAGAAAAACAAAGAGGAAAGUUAGAGAAGAAGAACAUGGCUUCACUCAAGAAGAAAAAACCCUACUCUUAUUUCCCACUUCUUCUAUUAGCCUCCACUACUCCAGCAUGAUGAGAAAAAAGGGUCUUCUUCUUUGAAAGAAUUUGAGCAGUUUCUUCUUCUUAUUCUUCUCUCUCUCUCUCGGGGAAUCGAAGCAUCACGGUCCGAUUGUUAAUUUUCUAGAUCAAGCAUAUGUCUAAACAAGUUUCCAAGCUUUUAUCCAUAUGGGUUUCUUUAUUGAAGUAGCUAGAUACUGUCUGCAGGGAUUUGCUUUAGAUGAUUGAAGAUUUUGGCAUGAGUAUUGCUCGAUUUUUUUCGACUUCAAUGUUGGUGCAAAAUUUCUGAAAGCUGCAGGAGGUCCAAGCUCUAGAGAUCUGGAUGUUCUUUAUAUCUAUGUAUGUAUGGCAAUAAAUACUGUUGUUUGAGAACAUAUAGCUAUGAACAGUUGAUUCCUGUUGACCUAUGUAAUUUUCUAUUUCCAUGUUAAUAUAAAUACACUUCUCUAUUUCUGUGAAAA